rnacentral:rRNA from 1 species
GACGAACGCUGGCGGCGUGCUUAACACAUGCAAGUCGUACGGUAAGGCCCUUUCUGUGGUACUCGAGUGGCGAACGGUUGAGUAACACGUUCGUAACCUGCCCACAACUUUGGGAUAACGCUAGGAAACUGGUUCUAAUACUGUAUAUGUGCUCCUGCUGCAUGGUUUGGGUUGGUAAUCUCCGUCGGUUGUGUAUGGACUCUCGGCCUAUCAGCUUGUUGGUGGGGUAGUGUCCUACCAAGGCGGCGACGGGUAGCCGGGCUGAGAGGGUUACCGGCCAAAUUGGGACUGAGAAAAGGGCCAGACUGCUAAGGGAGGGAGAAGGGGGGAAAAUUGAACAAUGGGGGCAAGGGUGAGGCAGAAACGACGCGGGAGGGAUGACGGCCUUCGGGUUGGAAACCGAAUUCAGCAGGGACGAAGCUUUUUGUGACGGUACCUGCAGAAGAAGCACCGGCUAACUACGUG